GCGAGCCGCGAGCUUCGAGAGGGGGACGUGUUGGAAACAUUUGCUGCAAGGAGCCAACUACCGGAGCCGCCAGGCGUCAUGUGGAGUCGCGGGUGUUGAUUAAAGAAGGAAUUGGCCAGGUGAUGGUGAGCUAGACCCAAAGAACUAUAGGCCCACACCGCCUGAAGAACCCUGGAGCUCGAACUGAAGUGAACUGAACUGGACCUCCUGCACCUCCUCCACCUGGUUGGGCUGGUAGGAGGCUCCUUUAAGGCAGCCGCCCCUCUCUUUUACUUUUUGCCUUUCGCAACAACUCAUUCUUGGCCCAAACCCAUUCACCACUCGUUCAACACUCCCUUUCCCUGGACACUGCCCUUUCCCUCUGGACGAUUUGGGCCACUGAACUGUUGCGUGUGUUCUACCUCGGCUGAACUUCAGAACUCUUUCGCGCGUCUAAUGGAUCGUUUCUCGCGUGUUAAUGGAUCCAUCGAAUAAUGUUUUUUUGUGAAAUAAUUGUGACUUAAUUCUGCACUUUUCAUGAAUGGCCAUUCACUUUAAAUGUUAAAUGUUGUUUGUCUAUGUCAAAAUAUAAUAUAAUUGCUACCACCUAAAACUUAUAUCAUUGUGUUCAGUCUCCUUUCCUCCACUCCUAGAGCCGAACUUAGAUCUGUCUGAUCUCUAGCCCAAUUCAACCAAUACUCUAACUGCAAACUAGUACUAAUACAGCGCUAAUAGUAGCGGCAUAUAGGCUACACCCACAUCCAAAAUCUGUAUAUUUGACAAAUAGUGACAUGUUCUUUCAAAUUGUCUUCUACUGUAUUUAAAUCAGCUAAAAUACCAAAAAGUCUUGGACUAUUGGAGCAACUUUAGAAAGGAACCUGCAGCUUUAGAGGGAAUCGGCUCUUCCCUCUGUGUUUCCACCAAUGGGUCGGGAUCUGAAUGAAGCUCCGGGAAAUACUUUCACCCCGUCUUUAUUUUGUCUGACUCCUUUUUUGUUUUUUUAAUCUUCCGGAAUAGAUUACAGCCCAAUAUUCCUGAUGCUCAGCUCAAACGGUUCCCGAUGGUCACGGAGAGAUGGGCUGUUGAUGUUUGCUGCAAGACUAAAUUAAGACCAUGUUGUUUGAUGGAAAACAGCUGCAGCCUCAUGAGAAGAGGAAACGCUGCGUUCAGGUUCAUCACCAUCAGCUGCAGAAAUGGGGUUGGGUCACUUUCCAGCUGCCUCUGUGGGAUCACCAGGUGUUCCCAGGUCAGAUGAGAUAUGUAAUCCUUCCAGAAAGUUCUAGGUCUAUCUUGGGGUCUCCUUUGGAAAACCUCCAAAGGAAGUCACCCAGGAUGUACCUUAAUCCGAUGCCCAAACAUCUCAUAUGAGCUCCCUCUGCAUGUCUGACCUCCUCACACUGUCUCUAAGAUGAGCUCAGCCACCAUCCUGAGGAAGAUCAUCUCAGCUGCUUGUACCCACAACGUCAUUCUUUUGGUCAUGAUCAUAUGUGAGGCUGGAACAAACUGCCAUGGUUCAGUACAUCAUCAUCUGUCCAUCCAUUUUCCCGUCACUCAUGAACAAGAUCCCGGCAUUCCCAGACUCCUUCUCAUGAGGCAACAACUCCCCUCCAACCCAGAGGGUGCAAUGAACUGGUUUCCAGCAGGCAACCACAGUCUCGGAAUUGGUGGUGCUGACUCUCAUUCCAUGUCAAUUCAUGGAGACUGUUGGGGUCUAAAGAAGUCAGUAGAACCAUCUGUACUCAGAGAUGCAACCCUGAGAAUCCCAAACCGAACACCUUCUUUACCCUGGCUGCACCUAGACAUUCCAUCCAAUGUUACAAAAAAACAGAACUGGAGACGAGAGGCAACUGGUAGAUGUCCGACCUCCUCACAUUAUCUUUACGGCUGAGUCCAGCCACCCUAGGAACAGGAACUGGAGGAUCUCAGCCACUUAUACACACAACCUUAUUCUUUAGAUUUCUACUUUGAGCUCAUGACUGUAAGGGAUGGUUUGGACAUAGCUCGACUAGUAAAUCUUCCGGCUCAACUUUCUCUUCAUGUCAUGGUUUGGUACAACACCAUCUGUCCAUCUCCAUUGUACUGUCACUGGUGAACAAGACCUUCAAAUUCCUAAACUCUGUCCCAUAAAGCAGCAACAUCCCCCAACCCAGAAGACACAAUUAUCUGGUUUCCAACAGGGAACCAAGGUCUCAGACUUGGAGGUGUUGAUCUCAUCCUGGCCUAAUGUAUGCUGAAGGUCUCAGCCUAAUGAGGCCAACAGAGCCAAGGCAUCUGCAAGCAGAGAUGCAACCCUGAACCCUAACCCUGAACCUUAACCCUCCUCACUACAGCUGCACCUUGAGAUCCAUUUAUAAAUAUCACAACCAGAACUGGAGAUGAGAGGCAACUCAUGGAUGUCCAACCUCUUAAUGCUAUCUUAAAAGCGGAGUGCAGCCACCCUAGGAACAGGAACAGGAGAAAACUGUAGGUGACAAUAGGUGAUUGUUGGAACAUCACCAAUUGUCAGAGAUGCAACCUUGCAGUUUUAAACCAGAACAACCUCCUCACACCGACUGCACCUUGAGAUCUGUCCAUGAAUACUAUAAACAGAACUGGAAACAAAAAGCAACCCAGGUAAUGGAGUCCAACACCAACCAGAAACGUGUUUGCCAAGAAUACAAACAUAGUUCUCACUUUGGCUGUACAAGGAUCAGAUGGUUUGUAGCCCCAGUACCCCACAGGGUCCCGAGGACCUUCUCCAAGUUCACAAAACAUGUGGUCUGGAUAGUCAAACUGCCAUGAUCCUCUCAGCAACUCCACAAAGUUUAAGAGCCAGUCCACUGUUCCACCGUUCCACAACCAGGACAGAAUCCACACUGUUCCUCCUGUAUUCGAGGUUUGACAGUCGGACCAAGUCUCCUUUCCAGCACCUUGGAAUAAACCUUCCUGGAGAGUCUGAGCAGUCUUAAAAAUCACUUUAGUCUACAUGUUUUACUGAAAAAAAUGUCAAAAAUAAGCCAUUUGCACCAGAUCCUUUCAAAAAAAAAAUCCUGUGAAGCCAUUAGUGACUCAGCUGCAACCAACAUUGAAAUAUUCUGGGAGUUUUUCAGCUGAACUGCAGGCAGUGUGUCCACAGAGCAAGUAGGAGACAAGUGUAGAAACUAAUUAAUAAUACAAGUAAAAAAAUAACUAUGUAUGUAGGGUCAAUACUUUAUAGUGUUGAUAGCAUCUCAGUGCACAUGUUGGUUCCAUGUUUUUAUUUAAUAUUGUAUAAUAAAUAAUGUUUUUUUUUUUCUAAAUUUGAGUUUAAAUUACACAUUAUUAAAUAGAUGCAGCAUCAUUCUGUCAACAAAAGCUUUUUAAAAUAAUGAUUACCACUUAAAAGGUUGAUUUUAAGCAAUAAAUUAGUUUUUUGUAGCCAUGCAUUUAAUUCACUCGUGGAAAAAGGUCCCUUUAAUUGCUCUCGACAGUGAACCUCCUUAUAUGGCUUCAGUUGGAAACAUGCAAUUAAAUUAAAUUUAACCAAGUUAACAGUAUUAUUAAUGAAAGUAGUUUGAAUUGGAUUCGUCUAAAUGAACAGUUUGCAUUGCUGGAACUUAAUUUUAGGAAAAAUCAGCUUGAAGUUUCCAGUUUUUCCGCCUGAAGUAUUCAGUUUACCAAGAUUCUGUUAUUAGACUUGCUGCUCUUUACCUUUCUUCACUCUGUAAUCGUUUUUAAAGAAAACGGUGGGUGAGUUCUAGGAGAUAUAUAUCUCUAGGAGGAACUAGUUCUGAUGAAAGUAGAAAACCAGUUUGAAGGAACAGAGGCUAAUAGUUCAGCUGAUAGAUUCCAGAAAAUCAAACCAAUGUCACCAAAGUGAAAAUUUUUUAUAUGAGUAAGGCUCAAACAGACUUUUUACAGUGUACUGCAUCCCAGUCUGAAGUUUCUUUUAAAUCAUAAGUGAGAAUUCAGUUUAGUUGUGCAGGAACAUCAUCUGUAGGAGCAGCAGCUUCAGUGAAUGUUCUGCAGAUGUUUAGAUGAUGAUGUAGAUAAAUAACAGAGGAUUUCAGACGAGGAGCUUCAGACACAUAAGAAGCAAAGUUUCUGUUGGGUUUUGUCAGUUUGCAGAACUUUUACACAAACAGAAAAGCAGCUUUAUGAAGGAAAGGAGGAACCUCAGAGCAGAACAUGGACUCUUUAAGGCAGGUCUGGCUUUAAAACUCUCCUGAAACACAUUUAGAGUCUGGCUUGGGGAUUUUUUUACCAGAUUAUCUUAAACGUGAUUCUUCUUUCGCUGAGGUCUGCAUUUUGUUUAGUUCUUUAGUGCAUAGUUUCUGUUCUUAGGCUUGUCCUCGUCUGUUUUUAAAGCCUGUGAAGCGUUUUUUUCUUAGAAAGGUGCCGCGUAAAUAAACCUUCCAGCGCUGCCGUUGAGCCGAGCAGUGAGAUCGUCUGACACACAUCCAGAGAUGAGUCCUGACUUGACAUCAGAUCACAGCUGCAGGCUGAAAACACAAAGUCUGACCUGCUGCAGGUUGAAAACAGGCGUCAGCAGCGUGCUGAUUGGCUCACAGACAAACCGUCCAAUCAGGGCGCUGCGUGACGAGUUUGAACCGGAGCGGCAAACCUCUGCAGGUUCACCUCAUUUGAUUUGGAGGCAGCCGUGCUGUCGACCAAUCAGAGACGGUGUUGCCAAGUCCGCUUAUUAAAAGUGACUGAGAUUGUUUUUCUGUAAAGCAGCUUAAAAAUGUCAUCAGUCGCGGCUUUUUGGGCUUGUUUUCUAAAGUUUAGUUGCUUAUUUUCUGUUGCUUAUGCAUAAUGCAUGUCUUUUACUAAGUUAUUCAAAGUUUUUAUGUUGACUGCGUUUACUGUCAGUUUACUGCAAACAAACGUAAAUGUAUUACUAGUAUUGUUAUUAUAUAUGCUGUUAUCAAGAGGCCUCUCAUUUACACAGUAUGACAGUUCAGCUGUUGAGCUUUUUUGGGGGUUUGUUUCCAUCGAGCUGAUUGUUUGUUUCUAUCAUGAGAUCUGGAAACACUGAUCAGAGAGCAGCAACAUCAGGCAUAGCUUUCAUUUAGUUUGAGUCAUUAGAGGUAAAGUUUACUGCAGCUCUUAAUGGAUGAGUUAAUAUGAUGGCAGGAGGACUUUAACUCUCUGAACCCUGGAAACAACUGGAGGGUUUGAAUGUUACCUUUAAACAAAUCACCAAAAUUACACCAUUUAUUAGCCAGAAACUGUAAAAACCGUUUCCUCAGUUCACAUCCUGACCUUCCUGGGAUCUUUCUGCAUGGAGUUUCCAUGUUCUCCUGUACAUGGUGGGUUUUCCCUGGGUUCUUCUUCCUCCCACUGUCCAAAAACAUGCUGAGGUUAACUGAUGAUUCUAGAUUGUCUGUAGGUGUGAAUGUGAGAGUGAUUGUUUGUCUCUAUGUGUAGUCCUGUGAUAGACUGUUACCUGUCCAGGUGAACCCUGCCUUCACCCUCAGUCAUCUGGGAUAGACUCCCUGUUUCCCUAAUGAGGAUUAAGUGGUGUAUAGAUAAUGGAUUGAUGGGUGUAAAACUGUGAAAGGGUCUCUGGAUGUUUAACUGACAAAUGGUCCUUGAACUGCUCGUCUGUGACGUUCUGCUCUAUCAGAAAACUCAAUCAAAUCUGAGUUUAAAGUUGUGGUUUUACACUAAAAUAAAAAAAGAGUUAAACAAACCAGAACGUGUUUUAUUUUUGAUGACAGCUUUGUACACUCUUGGCAGAAUCUAAACUAUCAAACAUUCUGUUUUUUCUUUUUACACUUAUGUGUUCACUGUAUACUUCCAGAUGUGUUCUUUCAUAGUUUAAUGUCUUCAGUUUUAAUCUACGAUGUUAAUUAAAAGAAAUAAAAACCACUGACUGAGGAGGUGUGUCCAAACUUUUGACUGGACACCAGAUUUUAGGAUUAUUUUCAUAUAUUUUUCACAUAAAUUCUUUUCUUAUGAAAAACACAGAGAAAAAUCUGUAUUUAUGAGUGCAGAAGCAACAUUUCUUUACAGCAUCAAGCUGCAGUGACAUUAACGUCUUCCUGUUAGUCGCCACAGUCUGAGUUAAUCUGAUAAAUUAUCAGAGUUUAUGUCAAUAACUGGUAGAGCUGGUUUGUUGAGUGGAGUUUCUCCACCCACUGAGGAUUUACUGAGCAGCUGAUCAGCUCUGAUUCAUCCACUUCUCAGAUCUGAAGCACAAAUCUGUGAUUUUAUCUGCAUCAAGAUGAGAAGCUUCAUUUUAACUUCAUUUAUGAUUUUAAAAAACCAACACAUUUGCAAAAGUUGUAUCAUUUCAGUGAACUUCAAAAAAUAUUACCAGAACAAAACAUAUAUUUGAUAGCUGCUUGAAUCUUAAAUGUAUGUUGUUUUUAAUUUAACUAUGGACACAAGCCUGACCAGUAUGUAAAGACACAGUGCCGUCUAAUUUGUAUUGUUUUUUGAUCAUCACUGUUAAUUUAUUUAAGGGUUACAGUAUAUUAGUAUUUAAUAAAAAUGUGUUACUAACCCUAACCCUAGUUCAAGUUGCUCUAAAAUGAGUUAAAGUUGCUCUAAAAUGAGUUAAAGUUACUCAAAAAAAAAGUGAAAGUUGUUCUAUAUUAAUUUAAAUUGUUCUUAAAUUAAUUAAGGCUUCUCUAUAUUAGUUAAAGUUGCUUUAUAUUUAAGUUGUUCUUAAUGAAUAAAAGUUGCUCUAUUUUAUAAAAAGUUGCUCAAAAAUGAGUUAAAGAUGCUAUAUCUUAAAGUUGUUCCAUAUUAGUUUAAGUUGCUCUACAUUAAUUAAAGCUGCUCUAUAUUAGAAAAGUUGGUUUAUAUUUAAGUUGCUCUUAAUGAGUAAAAGUUGUUCUAUUUUAUAUAAAGUUGCUCUAAAUGAAUUAAAGUUGCUCUAAAGGAGUUAAAGUUGACCUAAACUACUGUUCAAAAGUUUGGGGUCACCCAGACAAUUUCAUGUUUUCCAUGAAAACUCCCACUUUUAUUCAUGUGCUAACAUAACUGCACAAGGGUUUUCUAAUCAUCAAUGAGCCUUUCAACACCAUUAGCUAACACAAUGUAGCAUUAGAACACAGGAGUGAUGGUUGCUGGAAAUGUUCCUCUGUACCCCUAUGGAGAUAUUCCAUUAAAAAUCAGCUGUUUCCAGCUACAAUAGUCAUUUACCACAUUAACAAUGUCUACACUGGAUUUAUCAUUCAUUUAAUGCUAUCUUCAUUGAAAAAAAAUCAUUUUCUUUCAACAAUACGGACUUUUCUAAGUGACACCAAACCUUUGAAUGGUCGUGUAUAAAUUCAUUGACUAAUUUCUGCCUAAAUAAAUGCGCUGCCACAUGAGAUUUUAAAAUUUUCGUUCAUUUUGUCGACACAGAAAUCUGUGUUUGGUUCCUUUAAACUCGUAGCUCGAGGCCUCAAGUAGAGAAUCAGCUGCUUUUCCAGUCCGUCACCACUGAAGAAGCCCCAGAGGGUUAAAUAAAUAAAGAGUCGAAUCAAAGCAAAAAAUAACCUCACAGUUACAGUCGCUGAUGUUUCCUCUGCUCAGGAGAAAUAAACCUGCAGCGAUUAGUGUCACUCUGACCUUUUAUCCCCCAACAUUACACCUAAAAAACUUCAGAUUUCAGGGUGAAAACUGAGCUUAAAUCCAUCCAAUCCUCUAUCAUCACAGGAACACGACCAGAAUCAGCAUAUUGAAGCUCUGGAUCUGUUUUAAAUUGUUUCCCAGCAGUUUCUGAGUGUUUCUUUGUUCCUGUCACAUUUUUCCUCACUGCGUCUUCAUUUUUCUCUGCUCUAAAGUCCUGCACCUCUAUGGAAACAGAACAACCACAAAGACGGACUCAGAAAUGUCUUCAGUACAGUUAGAAGGACAGAAAUCAAAUUUAAAAAGUAGAAUUUAUUCAAUUAUUUAUCUUAGAAAUUUAAAUAAAUUGGAAUUAAGCAGUAGAAAGAUGUUUCUCCAUGCUGAAUGUAUCUCCAACAACCUGCUCCUCUGUUCACUGUUUCUGAUCCAUGCUGCAUUUAUUUUGUUCAUCCAGUAGCUUUGAGUUUCCCCUCAGUCUCGCUUGUCGUCUCUUCUUGUGGUUUUGUGUUGCAUUUGUGUUGUGGAGUCAUGUUUUAUAAUGGUCUGCAACUUGUCUUUGUUGUGAUUUUGUCUAUUUUUUGUCAUUUCCUGUCUCAUUUCUGGAAAUUAGUCUUGUUUAUUGCCAUUUUAGGUCAGUUUUGUCUCAUUUUUGUCAUUUUGUGGCUCAUUUCGGUCAUUUUUGUCUGUUUUCUGUUGUUUUCUGUCUCAUUUUGUGCCUUGUUUGUCAUUUUUUGUCAUUUUGUCUUGUUUUUGGUUAUUUUGUGUCUCAUUUGUGUUGUGUGGUCAUGUUUUAUAGUAUUCAGUAUCUUGCUUUUCGUCAUUUUGUGCCAUUUAGGCUGUUUAAUUUCUGUUUUCUGCCAUUUUGUGUACUUUUUUUGUCUUGUUUUUGUCAUUUUGUGUAUCAUUUUGGGUCUCGUUGGUCAUUUUUCCUGUGGUUUUGUCUCCUUAUUCUACAGAUAUUCAACUAUCUCCAUGUUUCCUCUCUACUCUGCUCAUCAUCAGUAGAAAGAUGUUUCACCAUGCUGAAUGUAUCUCCAUCAACCUGCUCCUCUGUUCACUGU